UCAGUCAGCAUGGAGUCAGAGAAGAGGCCAGGAGCCUGCUUGCUAAGCCCCUCUCUACCACAAAUCACCUCUAAGACCUUGACACUGUGCGUCUACAAACAGAGCUGCCGUAAACACUCCUGUGGACCAACACUCCUAUUUCUGUGGCACAGAACCACUGGAAUGGAGCUGCUGUGUCAAACAAGGAACUGAAGAGCUGGCAGAAUUAGAAGCAGGGGAAGAGAUCAGGACAAGGGAGUGGCCAUGGCCAAGAGGAGGCAUAUGUCUAAAUUCCGAAGACUAAAGCAUGAUCAGCAACAAAGACAGGUUUGUGGUUGAAUCCCUCUACUGCUGAAAACAUUCAGUUCCGUGGUCCCUUCUCCCUGGAUUCUCAGUAA